rnacentral:sRNA from 1 species
AUGUGCUUAGGCAUUGCUCGCUGUGGCCAGAACCUUGCAGGGGUGAGAGACACUGGACUGUACAUCUUGGCCUCUUACCUACUAUGUCUGCGUCAGCCUCCUUCACAGCCUGAUGGCCCCUGCGGCAGCCCCAACCCAGUUUCAGGGGCUAAGAAAACUACAGUUGCAUGAAUGAGUGGAGUGUUCAUUUCUGUGUCGGGCACAGUGCUAAGUGCUGGGUGCUCACUGGUGAUGAGGCAGAUGAAGGUUACCAAACUUGUGGACAGGAGCCUCAUGUCAGAGACGUGGACCUCACUGUAGCCUGGUCAUGGCUUCCAGCUUUUCGAAUCUGAGGCUCCAAAGGAGGAAAUGACCAUUCAGGGAUCUUACUCCAGCUUGAUUACGGAAACUGAACCUUCAUAGGGUGCGCACUUACCAAGGACAGGAAGGUUUCUCUCUUUGAAGGGCUUUAAACUUAUAACAAAGAAAAUAAAAAUGACGACUUCGUCUAUCAGACGGCAGAUGAAAAACAUCGUGAACAAUUACUCAGAGGCAGAAAUCAAAGUCCGGGAAGCCACCUCUAAUGACCCAUGGGGCCCGUCCAGUUCUCUGAU